GUGAAAUAAUAUGUGUGUGAGUGUGUAUGUAUUUAGAUCUGUCAAUUGAAAAGGUAUUUAUAUUAUAUAUUUUGUAGAAAGCCUCAAGAAAGACUUUCAGUCUCGUUCUUUUCUUUUGUUCUAAACAUAUAUUUCAGUAACAAACAAUGGUCACAGUUAGGGGUUUUGCGGGACAAUGUUCAUGCCCAGCACACCAAUUAUUUGUGACUGAAGGAUCUAUGUAUGCAUAUGGCAUAAAAUGUUACAAAAAGUACAGAAAAGCCAUAGGACAACAGCACUCCCCCUAUCUAUGUAAGAAACACAUAAAGACAAACAAAGCUAAUAUCUUCCUGAACAAACAUGUUUGUGACUUUUCUGUGAGUUCAUCUACGGUAAAGCAAAACAUAAGUGCAAUGCUUGAACCAAAAUUGUAUGGAUGUACUAUCAAUAGAGAUAAUGCUUUCAGCCUCAAACCUGAAUACGGCUCCACCGUAAGG
rnacentral:misc_RNA from 1 species